rnacentral:rRNA from 1 species
CCCGUCGAAAGGCGGCCUAACACGAUAUGGAGAAGGAUGGGGAUGCGUCUGAUUAGCUUGUUGGCGGGGUAACGGCCCACCAAGGCGACGAUCAGUAGGGGUUCUGAGAGGAAGGUCCCCCACAUUGGAACUGAGACACGGUCCAAACUCCUACGGGAGGCAGCAGUGAGGAAUAUUGGUCAAUGGGCGAGAGCCUGAACCAGCCAAGUAGCGUGCAGGAUGACGGCCUAUGGGUUGUAAACUGCUUUUAUGCGGGGAUAGGUACCGCAUGAAUAAGGACCGCCUAAUUCCGUGCCAGCAGCCGCGGUAAUACGGAAGGUCCGGGCGUUAUCCGGAUUUAUUGGGUUUAAAGGGAGCGUAGGCCGUCUGAUAAGCGUGUUGUGAAAUGUCGGGGCUCAACCUGGGCAUUGCAGCGCGAACUGUCAGACUUGAGUGCGCGGGAAGUAGGCGGAAUUCGUCGUGUAGCGGUGAAAUGCUUAGAUAUGACGAAGAACUCCGAUUGCGAAGGCAGCCUGCUGUAGCGCAACUGACGCUGAAGCUCGAAAGCGUGGGUAUCGAACAGGAUUAGAUACCCUGGUAGUCCACGCGGUAAACGAUGGAUGUUCGCUGUUUG